GACGAGGUGGCCGAGUGGUUAAGGCGAUGGACUGCUAAUCCAUCGUGCUAAGCACGCGUGGGUUCAAAUCCCAUCCUCGUCG
rfam:Xiphophorus maculatus strain JP 163 A Contig9467.1, whole genome shotgun sequence.